rnacentral:rRNA from 1 species
UACGAAGGGGGGCUAGCGUUGCUCGGAAUGACUGGGCGUAAAGGGCGCGUAGGCGGCUCAUAGAGUCGGGCGUGAAAUUCCUGGGCUUAACCCGGGGGCUGCGUUCGAUACCUGUGGGCUGGAGUGAGGAAGAGGGUCGUGGAAUUCCCAGUGUAGAGGUGAAAAUUCGUAGAUAUUGGGAAGAACACCGGUGGCGUAGGCGGCGACCUGGUCCUUUACUGACGCUGAGGCGCGAAAGCGUGGGGAGCAAACAGG